UACGUAGGGGGCGAGCGUUGUCCGGAAUCAUUGGGCGUAAAGCGUGCGCAGGCGGCUGUGCAAGACAGAUGUGAAAUCCCCGGGCUCAACCUGGGAACUGCAUUUGUGACUGCACAGCUAGAGUCCGGAAGAGGCGAGUGGAAUUCCCGGUGUAGCGGUGAAAUGCGCAGAUAUCGGGAGGAACACCAAUGGCGAAGGCAGCUCGCUGGGACGGUACUGACGCUGAGACGCGAAAGCGUGGGGAGCAAACAGG
rnacentral:rRNA from 1 species